CUACGGGAUGCAGCAGUGGGGAAUAUUGCACAAUGGGCGCAAGCCUGAUGCAGCCAUGCCGCGUGUAUGAAGAAGGCCUUCGGGUUGUAAAGUACUUUCAGCGGGGAGGAAGGGAGUAAAGUUAAUACCUUUGCUCAUUGACGUUACCCGCAGAAGAAGCACCGGCUAACUCCGUGCCAGCAGCCGCGGUAAUACGGAGGGGGCAAGCGUUAAUCGGAAUUACUGGGCGUAAAGCGCACGCAGGCGGUUUGUUAAGUCAGAUGGGAAAUCCCCGGGCUCAACCUGGGAACUGCAUCUGAACUGGCAAGCUUGAGUCUCGUAGAGGGGGGUAGAAUUCCAGGUGUAGCGGUGAAAUGCGUAGAGAUCUGGAGGAAUACCGGUGGCGAAGGCGGCCCCCUGGACGAAGACUGACGCUCAGGUGCGAAAGCGUGGGGAGCAAACAGGAUUAGAUACCUAGUAGUC
rnacentral:rRNA from 1 species